UACGUAGGGUGCGAGCGUUAAUCGGAAUUACUGGGCGUAAAGUGUGCGCAGGCGGCCGAGCAAGUCGAGUGUGAAAGCCCCGAGCUUAACUUGGGAACUGCGCUCGAAACUACUUGGCUAGAGUGUGGCAGAGGGAGGUGGAAUUCCACGUGUAGCGGUGAAAUGCGUAGAGAUGUGGAGGAACACCGAUGGCGAAGGCAGCCUCCUGGGCCUGCACUGACGCUCAUGCACGAAAGCGUGGGGAGCAAACAGG
rnacentral:rRNA from 1 species